rnacentral:rRNA from 1 species
CCUACGGGAGGCAGCAGUGAGGAAUAUUGGUCAAUGGGCGUAAGCCUGAACCAGCCAAGUCGCGUGAGUGAUGAAGGUUCUAUGGAUCGUAAACCUCUUUUAUCAGGGAAUAAAGUGUGGGACGUGUCCUAUUUUGUAUGUACCUUAUGAAUAAGGAUCGGCUAACUCCGUGCCAGCAGCCGCGGUAAUACGGAGGAUCCGAGCGUUAUCCGGAUUUAUUGGGUUUAAAGGGUGCGUAGGCGGCCUUUUAAGUCAGCGGUGAAAUUCUGUGGCUCAACCAUAGAAUUGCCGUUGAAACUGGGGGGCUAGAGUAUGAUUGAGGCAGGCGGAAUGCGUGGUGUAGCGGUGAAAUGCUUAGAUAUCACGCAGAACCCCGAUUGCGAAGGCAGCCUGCCAAGCCAUGACUGACGCUGAUGCACGAAAGCGUGGGGAUCAAACAGGAUUAGAUACCCCAGUAGUC